rnacentral:lncRNA from 1 species
UCGAAAGGAGUACGCUACGCGAGCGGUUAUAGAUUUUUCGUGGAAAUUAGAUGAUUUUAUUUUCUAAAUAUUAUGUUUACGACUUAAUAAAAACUGAAUGCAGGAGUGUCACUCAUUAUGUAUUUUGAGUUACUUCUAUUUCAUAUGAGUCGGAGGAGAUUUGUUAGAGGGCCAAUGUUGGAAAAAAGUCGUUGAACGGUUUUUUGCCGUAAUAAUGGAAUAUUAUAGAAGCUCAAAAUGCCAUGUGUUCACGAAGUUUCUUCAUAUCAAUCCUCUUUCACUUCUGGAUGUAGUGUUACCUGAAGGAAGCAUAAAAGAGUACCAUUUUCAGCUGGAAGCUGAGGCAGACUGUUGCUGUAACUAAAGAAAUGCUUUAUGACAAAAAUUGAUUGGCCAACAAAUGAACUACUGAAAUGACUACAAUGGUACCUAUUGUUUUGCCUGUACAUACUUAACUUUCGAUUUACUGUUGGCAUCUUUACCUCACAUGCGGCUGAUUUUUGAUGGAUUAGUGUGAGCAACUGGAAGUUAUUUGGACCCCACUGAAACAACAAAUCAUCUGCAUUGAAUCUUUCUUCCUGGUUACGGCUUUCUCUCGCACUUGCAAAUUUGAAGAAUUACAUUCUACAGUUAGUUAAGAUUGCCCAACAAAUGCGAGAAAACUGAAAUUAAUUUUGAUGCUGCCAAUGUCGCCUACAAUGGUAUCAUAUUUGCUUAUUUUGGUUUGCUGUUGUCAUCUUCACAUUGCUUCAUCAGGCAGUUAAUUUUGGACCAAUGAAAGAAAACACCUGGAAAUUUAUUUGGAAACCACUAACAUCACGUCAUUUUGGCCUUGCUCUGCACUCACAUUAAGAUCGACGGUGGAGAAGACAAAGAAGAUCCCGUAGUUAGAAUAUUUUUUGCCCUAUUAUAAUCAAGCUCUUAUUUUGCAUGUUUUUUAUUUUUAGUUUGCUUAUUUUUUUGUAGUUUAUUUUAUUUGAGUCAAUUUUAAUUU